rnacentral:lncRNA from 1 species
GAAGAGGAAAGAGCCAUACAGGAAGGCGAUCCCAGACGAGGCGAGCAUCAUCAGGGUGGAGAUGGUAGUAAGAAGAUCCGAAAGCAACAGCAGCCACACCGACGAAAAAGCAAGUCCAUCCCAACUUCUCACCUCGCAAACUGUUUUCCAUACACAGAAAGAUUCAAUUUUUGAAAUCCGUUUUGUUCACUAGGAAGAAGAAGACGAAGUAGAGAUUGACUGACCUGAAUCUGAAGUAAUCGUCUGGGUAAAAGCAGAGGACGAGGCCGAUGAGGCCGAUGAUGAGGAAAGGGAAGUUGGAG